rnacentral:rRNA from 1 species
UACAGAGGGGGCAAGCGUUGUUCGGAAUUACUGGGCGUAAAGGGCUCGUAGGUGGCCAACUAAGUCAGACGUGAAAUCCCUCGGCUUAACCGGGGAACUGCGUCUGAUACUGGAUGGCUAGAGUUUGGGAGAGGGAUGCGGAAUUCCAGGUGUAGCGGUGAAAUGCGUAGAUAUCUGGAGGAAUACCGGUGGCGAAGGCGGCAUCCUGGACCGACAUUGACGCUGAGGAGCGAAAGCUAGGGGAGCAAACGGGGAUUAAGCAAACC